UAGUCAGACCUACAGUUUGAUGCUGAGUGGC
rnacentral:piRNA from 1 species